rnacentral:rRNA from 1 species
UAAUUCCCGUUGAUCCUGCGGGAGGUUGCUGCUAUUGGGGUUCGACUAAGCCAUGCAAGUCAUCUCGCAAGAGAGGCGAAAUGCUCAGUAACACGUCGAUAAUCUGCCCUUAGGUCUGGAAUAACCUCGGAAAACUGAGGGUAAAACCGGAUAGAGAAAUUUAACUGGAAGGUGAAUUUCUUCAAACGUAAGGCCUAAGGAUGAGUCGGCGGCGGAUUAGGUUGUUGGCGAGGUAAAGGCUCACCAAGCCGAAUAUCCGUAGGGGCCUUGAGAGAGGUAGCCUCGAGAAGGGCACUGAGAUACUGGCCCUAGCUCCACGGAGUGCAGCAGGCGCGAAACCUUUACAAUGCACGAAAGUGUGAUAAGGGAACCCCAAGUGAUGGUGCAACGCAUCAUCUUUUGCUAAAGGUAAAUACUUUAGCGAAUAAGUGGUGGGCAAUACCUGUGCCAGCCGCCGCGGUAACCCAGGAGCCACAAGUGGCAACCGCUUUUAUUGGGCCUAAAGCGUCCGUAGCCUGUCUUGUAAAUUUUUUGUGAAAUCGUUGCGCUUAACGUAACGGCGGGCAGAAAACACUGCGAGACUAGGGACCGGGAGGAGUUAGGGGUAUUUUGGGGGGAGCGGUAAAAUGCUAUAAUCCCCGAAGGACCACCAGUGGCGAAGGCGUCUAACUAGAACGGAUCCGACGGUGAGGGACGAAAGCUAGGGGAGCAAUCCGGAUUAGAUACAACCUUUUUGCGAACGCAAAAAGCUUGACCAAAAAUUUCAUGAAGCGCCUUCGGCGCAAACCACGAUUGCAAAAAUUCUACUGUGGUUAAAUGAAUUUCAAGCUUCUAUGCAAGAAGUGUUGCUAAUUACCCGAGUAGUCCUAGCUGUAAACUCUGCGAGCUAGGUGUUGCGUAUUCUUAGGGAAUGCGUGGUGUCGUAGCGAAGGUGCUAAGCUCGCCGCCUGGGGAGUACGGUCGCAAGGCUGAAACUUAAAGGAAUUGGCGGGGGAGCACUACAAGGGGUGCGGCGUGCGGUUUAAUCCAAUUCAACACGGAAAAUCUCACCAGGAGCGACGGCAGGAUGAAGGUCAGAUUAAAGGUCUUACCUAACGAGCCGAGAGGUAGUGCAUGGCCGUCGUCAGCUCGUGCCGUAAGGUGUCCUGUUAAGUCAGGCAACGAGCGAGACCUGCGCACACAAUUGCUAACGAUUUUCGCAAGAAAAGAUUGAGCACAUUGUGCGGACUGCCUCUGAAAAGGGGAGGAAGGCGCAGGCAACGAUAGGUCUGUAUGCUCCGAAUCUUCUGGGCUACACGCGCGCAACAAUGGUAGGUACAAUGGGAUGCAACACCGAAAGGUGGAGCUAAUCCUCGAAAACCUAUCCAAGUUCAGAUCGUGGAUUGUAAUUCAUCCACGUGACGUUGGAAUCCCUAGUAAUCAGGCUUUAUUAGAGCCCGGUGAAUAUGUCCCUGCUCCUUGCACACACCGCCCGUCAAACCACCCGAGCAGGGUUUAGAUGAGGUCCAAUUUUUAAUUGGUUCGAAUCUAAGCUCAGCGAGGAGGGUUAAGUCGUCACAAGGUAGCCGUAGGGGAACCUGCGGCUGGAUCACCUCCUU